CUUGUACUCCCUCCGUUCGAAAAUACUUGUCGCAGAGAUGGAUGUAUCUAGACGUAUUUAAGUUUUAGAUACAUUUAUUUUUAUCUAUUUCCCCGACAAGUAUUUCCGGACGGAGGGAGUAUAAG
rfam:Triticum aestivum genome assembly, contig: Triticum_aestivum_CS42_TGACv1_scaffold_406026_5BL